GAUGAACGCUGGCGGCGUGCCUAAUACAUGCAAGUCGAGCGAACAGACGAGGAGCUUGCUCCUCUGACGUUAGCGGCGGACGGGUGAGUAACACGUGGAUAACCUACCUAUAAGACUGGGAUAACUUCGGGAAACCGGAGCUAAUACCGGAUAAUAUAUUGAACCGCAUGGUUCAAUAGUGAAAGACGGUUUUGCUGUCACUUAUAGAUGGAUCCGCGCCGCAUUAUCUAGUUGGUAAGGUAACGGCUUACCAAGGCAACGAUGCGUAGCCGACCUGAGAGGGUGAUCGGCCACACUGGAACUGAGACACGGUCCAGACUCCUACGGGAGGCAGCAGUAGGGAAUCUUCCGCAAUGGGCGAAAGCUUGACGGAGCAACGCCGCGUGAGUGAUGAAGGUCUUCGGAUCGUAAAACUCUGUUAUUAGGGAAGAACAAAUGUGUAAGUAACUAUGCACGUCUGGACGGUACCUAAUCAGAAAGCCACGGCUAACUACGU
rnacentral:rRNA from 1 species